ACUCAUCGGCAAAGACGCGCUUGACAUUUACAACAGCUUCUGUUAAUAUCAGCAGACGAAUUAAAAUGAACUACAAACGUCACGGACAGAUUAACAGAACGUUACGUCUGAAAGAUAGAUAGGGGAGAGUGGGAUGCUGUAACCAUAAAGCAACCAGGACAACACACCUGGAGUGACCGAGAGCAGGAUGAAGAAAGAAUCGGACAAGAAAAUAUCAACUGUUGCCCAUGAGGAGAAAUAUUGUUCUUGGACCUGUUUUUCUGUUUAGUAAUAAGUGGUUUUAUGUGGUUCAAUAAAAGUAAUUUAAUAUUCAAUCCACAAGCUAAAUUUCCUACAUUUUCUUAAAGGGGAAGUUCACCCAAAAAGGAAAAUUCUGUCAUCAUUUACACAAACAGUUUGGUUACAAACAUUUCUCACAAUAUCUUCCUUCAUGUUUAUCAGAACAAAGAAAUGUAUGCGGGUUUGUAACACAUGAGAGUGUGUAAAUGAUGACAGAAUUUUCAUUUUUGGGUGAACUACCCCUUUAACAUUUUUAUACCCAGGGGUAAAAGAAAUGUAUGUUAAACAUUUUUAGUUUGUCUCUUUUUGUUACUGCUACUUUCAACAAGACUAAUUAUUCAGCCAAGCUUAUUUAGUACUUUAAGAAAUGAAGAGCUUUUAUGGGUUUUAAGACCCAGAUAUGUGCUCACAGUUCGCCCAUAGAAUGCCCAGUGGUCCCACAAUUUUCCCGCAGUAUGCCCACACUUUGUCCAUUGUGCCCACAUUUUUCCCACGUAUUUGUAUUUAAAUAAAUUUUUCCACACAGUA